AAAAAAUAUUACUUUGCACUUUAAUAAAACACCCUCUCCUUUUCUUCAACCAAUCCCUGUUUUCUUCAACGCUAAUUAUUUGUAAACUUUUUGUUCCGUUUUCGAAAAGCUUCAACGCUACCAGCUUCCAGUUUUAAAGCACAAGAUAUGACACAAACUUCUAGUUCUUUAAAUCAAAGAACAAUGAAGUUGUUAUUUGCUGUUUUUGUGUUUUGUAACCUUUUGAUGAUUAUGGAUACAGUUGCAUACGAAGAGACGAUGCCUGUCGAUAUGUGCACAUUUUUGAAGUGGUCAGGACCAUGCCUCAAAAGCAAGUGUUCUGAUGCAUGCAUUAGAAGUGGAUAUGUCGACGGGGUUUGCCAAAACGAUGCUACCGAAAAUGCUGAUGCAUGUUAUUGUUUCAAACAUUGUUAAGGUUAUAUACAAGUAUCUGUAACCUUGUCUUGUUGUUGACCAGGUUUAUAUGUAAUGUUGUUAUAUAUCAACUUAUAAUAAUCAAGUUUAUUUUAUUUAUAUGGUAA